ensembl:lncRNA LINC01446 long intergenic non-protein coding RNA 1446
GACAGAAGAUGGCGGAUGAGCAGCGUGCAGGGUUUUCUCCCUGUGGCUCACUCUCUCUUACUGUGCUGGGCGGUUGCUUCCUCUCCUGCUGCCCUUGGGAGUCAGACUCCAGGUUCUUCAGCCUGUGGCCCCUGGGGCUCUCGGGCCUUGGAGGACUGACUAGGAGCACACGGUGGGCCUCUCUGGUUUGGGGGCCUGGGACGUGGCGGAGCCCUGCAGCUUCUGUGCGGCCUGUUCUGGGCGUCGCGUUGAAACGCCAGCCAGUUCCCCAAGAUGGACGUAGAACUACUCUAGGAAAUUCCUCAAACACUGCCAAGUACUUCAUGGCUGAAAGCCAAAUAUUCAGUCCCCCUGGGAUUACAGGAGUGUUGAAGAAAUGUUGUGACACAUCAGAACACCGCGAAAUACAUGGACACUUUCAAAUCAUGGAAGACUCAAGAGUCCUUGUUUUUGCCCAGUAUUAUAAACUGAGUUACAUAAAGGCAGAGCAAAUGCUAAAGCAAACUGUCCAGAAGGAAGGACAGCAGUAAGUGGAGAGACGUUAUUGCAAACAAGCACCUGGCAACAGCUGUGUUAGUUGCCCACCAGGUAUUUUUGAAAAAAGUACUCUGUGAAAAACAGAAACUGCAAGCAAGACAGAUACCAGGAUUAGGGAUCACGGUGACUUCUACCAUCGCUGGAUACUCCCAAAAGGGUUCUCGAGACAGCAGCUGUGUCUGCCCUGCUUUGGCAUUCUUUCCCAGGCAUGGCGACCGGUCAGGAGGGCAUCUUUCUCGGCUCUUCACUGUGAGAACCUUGUGGGAUUCCUGAAGAUGAAACCAUGAACGCGAGGGAGUCUUGCUAAAACUGCAGCAUUCGAGAGGUUUUCACUCAUGCUGGCUCACACUUGUCCUCUAGCAAUUCAUCAAAAUUACCACGUAAGUGUUUCAACAGUUUAUGGCUCAGGUGGCCUCAGCUGUGAUGCUCCAAAUUUGCCUGUUUCUCCAGAUGCAGGGUAGCAGUUUGCUGUUUCUCCUGAGUUCUUUGAUGGAUUCAAGAAAAGUCAUGAUUUUCAGUUUGUUCUGAUUUUUUCUUGUGAGGGCAAAGUAAUGACUAAGCUUUAAUGUGUUUCAGCUAAAACUACAUGUAUUUUAAUAGCAAAAUGAGAUAUAAUUCACAUGUCAUAAAAGUCACCAUUUUUGGGUGCACAACUCAUUGGAUUUUAGUAUAUUCCAGGGUUAUGCAAGAAUAAAUAUUCUCUAAUUUUGGAACAUAUUUAUCUACUCAGAAAGAAACUUUGUGCUCAUUAACAGUUACUUAAUAUUCUCUCUCCCCUAACCUAUGGUAACUACUAGUCGACUUGCUAUAGAUUAGGUUACUUUGGAUAUUUCAUAUAUGUUGAAUCAUAAAAUAUGUGCCUUGGCUUCUUUCACUUACCGUAAUAUUUACAAAAUUCAUUCAUCUUACAAAGUACUUCAUUCUAUUUUUGAUUUUAUGGGUUAAUAAUAUUCUACUGUCUGGCUAUAUACAUGUAUGAAUAAUGUGGCAACAUUUUGUCCAUACACUCAUCAUGUGAUUAGUAUUUGCUUUGUUGUUGUUGUGUGUUUUUUAUUUUUCAGUUAUUAUGAAUAAUGAUUAUGAAUUCAGUUAUUAUGAAUAACUACAAUAAAUAGUUAUGCAUAA